AGAGCGAACGCUGGCGGCAGGCCUAACACAUGCAAGUCGAGCGCCCCGCAAGGGGAGCGGCAGACGGGAGGGUAACACGUGGGAACGUACCCUUCAGUUCGGGACAACCCAGGGAAACUUGGGCUAAUACCGAAUACGUCCGUAAGGAGAAAGAUUUAUCGCUGAAGGAUCGGCCCGCGUCUGAUUAGCUUGUUGGUGAGGUAACGGCUCACCAAGGCGACGAUCAGUAGCUGGUCUGAGAGGAUGAUCAGCCUCACUGGGACUGAGACACGGCCCAGACUCCUACGGGAGGCAGCAGUGGGGAAUAUUGGACAAUGGGCGCAAGCCUGAUCCAGCCAUGCCGCGUGGGUGAUGAAGGCCCUAGGGUUGUAAAGCCCUUUCGGCGGGGAAGAUAAUGACGGUACCCGCAGAAGAAGCCCCGGCUAACUUCGUGCCAGCAGCCGC
rnacentral:rRNA from 1 species